rnacentral:rRNA from 1 species
UACAUGGGGUGCAAACGUUGCUCGGAAUUAUUGGGCGUAAAGCGCAUGUAGGCGGUUCGUUAAGUCGGAUGUGAAAGCCCUCGGCUCAACUGAGGAAGUGCACCCGAAACUGGCGAGCUUGAGUACGAAAGAGGAUCGCGGAAUUCCUGGUGUAGCAGUGAAAUGCGUAGAUAUCAGGAGGAACACCGGUGGCGAAGGCGGUUCUCUGGGCCGUACCUGACGCUGAGGAGCGAAAGCGUGGGGAGCGAACAGG